rnacentral:lncRNA from 1 species
GUAUAUCAUUCAGAUUGUCAAGGCAGCUACUGACUUGAAAAGCACCAAUGUGAGGGAGAGGCUCAAGGACACGGCAACAGAUAACUAAAAGGGAAAAUCCUUUGUUAUAACAAGCCGAUCAGCACCGAACUAAACUUCAACGCAAGUCUAUAGCUAUAGCAGACUUUAAUGAUGUGUGUGUGUGUGGGGAGGGGGUAAGCUAGAUAGAGUGCAUGUGCUUGUUCUCGUGUAGCCUAAUUGAAUAAGAGAAGAAAUUACAAAAUCCC